rnacentral:tRNA from 1 species
GCCUUCGUGCCGUAAUGGUCAGCACACUGAGCCGGUAUUUCAGAGGUCCGCGGUUCGAUCCCCGGCGAAGGCG